rnacentral:rRNA from 1 species
GGCAUGGUUGUCGUCAGCUCGUGUCGUGAGAUGUGGGUUAAGUCCGCAACGAGCGCAACCCCUAUUGUUAGUUGCCAUCAUUCAGUUGGGCACUCUAGCGAGACUGCCGGUAAUAAACCGGAGGAAGGUGGGGAUGACGUCAAAUCAUCAUGCCCCUUAUGACCUGGGCUACACACGUGCUACAAUGGUUGGUACAACGAGUUGCGAGUCGGUGACGGCGAGCUAAUCUCUUAAAGCCAAUCUCAGUUCGGAUUGUAGGCUGCAACUCGCCUACAUGAAGUCGGAAUCGCUAGUAAUCGCGGAUCAGCACGCCGCGGUGAAUACGUUCCCGGGCCUU